rnacentral:lncRNA from 1 species
AUUAUAUGCAGUGGUCAAAGCAUUAUAUGAAGUGUUCAAAACAUUAUAUGCAGUGGUCACAACAUUAUAUGAAGUGAUCACAACAUUAUAUGAAGUGCUCACAACAUUAUAUGAAGUGCUCACAACAUUAUACGUUUUUUGUUGUAUGAUGAGAUUGUUGUAUGAUGAGAUUGAUGUAUGAUGAGAUCAUUCGGUAAACAUCGUUUUUUAGCGGAAAUUACCGAAUCCAUAAUUUGUAAAUUACGGUAAUGCCCAGCAAACAAAUUUAAACAGUUAUUAAAGUCAUGUGAUCAUAAGGCAGUAUACAAUAUUUAAAACUGAUUGAAAUAAGUAAGGAAAAGAUGAAACUAAGAAGUGAAUGAUUAAAGUAGUUCUGUUCGUCGUAAGAAAUACGAAUGGCAAAAUGUAAGUGAAAUAAUAAAAAGUUUAUUUAAUGAAAUAUCGAAGGGAAAUUUGUAUGACAUAUUCCUCGAGUUCAUUUCCUACUGAAGAACUUUAGCAAGGUGCCACUUUAUAGUCCGUACUCAGUUUUAAAAA